rnacentral:lncRNA from 1 species
CUCUCGUUAAUCCCGAUAUCUAUACUUCAAACUAGAUACACUCGUCAUACUUUCAACUUUGAUUUUUCUUGAAUCCUCAUUUCCAUUUCUUCCAAUGUGACAUUAGUCUUAAACAUGAUGUCAACGUGAUUGUCCGAUUGAAAAAUGAUGCUUAUAUCACCCAUCGUAAUUGAUCCAUUAUAAAUACCUGUGCCAUAAAUUGAUUCAUCAUCUUUUCAAUUCAAAUUAUAAAAUGUUACAUUACUAGCAUUAGGAAUAAUACUAACACAAUAAUGAACUUUUAACAAUACAAACAUUUUUAAUUAUAGGAACAAUUUCAACAAUACAAAAAAAAAGACAUCUAACAUAACAUUAAAAUUCUAAAACGUUUAAUAACACUAAUAGUAUAACAAUUGCAUAAUACAAAAUACUUGCAUGAUAAAAAAUCUGUAAAUCUGAAAGCUUAACUUUAAGAGGUUUAGAAUUAUACUCUAAAAGGAAAAUUUUAAGGAUGAAGUAAAAAAAAUUAGGGUUCAAACAAAUAAGUUUAAGCUUUUAUUGUAAAAUUUAUAUUAACCUCAACUCCCAUGAAUUUUGAGGUUAAUAUCCAAUAAGUCAAAUUUAUAUAAGUGCAAGUACAAGGUUCUUAAAGGAAUAUCUGGUAAAUAAGAUUGAUUGGGGUCAUGUAACACCCAAAAUCUAGCCUAGACAUUAUGGACGAAUAUGGGACUGUUACGAUGAAGGGUUUUAAACACAUCCUUUAGGUUAAAACUUUACAUACUAUUUGUUACCAAAAAGGGUACAUGUUUCCAGAAAAGCUCUUUUUAUAUUCUUUAUUAAAACCGUUAUUGUUGUUCUUUAAUGUGAAUCAUAAAUUUGCAGUGAAAGUUGAAUAAAUCAUUAUAGAUAAAACCAAGUUUGUAUUUUUAGAAAAACUUUUGUUUGCGUAAAAUCGUGAUUUUGUCAAACAUCGCAGUAUAAAAUUUAAAAACGCAUCCAAAACCAAAACCAAAAGCAAACAGUCCAGAGAGUUUCAAAAUUUACAAACUCUCAAGAAAAACUAGAAUCUAAAAAUAAAACCAUUAAUUUAAAGACAGUUUUUGUACUAGUGGUUACCGUUGAGCCUUUGUCGCACUGACUCGCCUAUGUCUGAGGAUUACCUGAAUAGAACAGACAACAUAUGUGAGUUUUCAAAAAACUCAGUGUGUAACUUAACAGAGACACUCAUGCAUAUGGGAACAAAGUUUUCAUGUACAGAUUAGAUACAGAUACGGACACAAGUCCUUAAUAGAAACAGAUCAUGUCAGAAUCAGAUAAUCAGAAUAGAUAUGCAAAAUCCUACCUCCAUCCUCUACACACCAUAUCUGAACAUCCCAUCACAUAAUGUGGGGUAUAAAACACCCACCCAUCCCUACAUACCACAUAGUGUCUGUACGACACUUAGCAGAAUAGCAUGCAACCAUACUGCUAGAUAAUAGGCAAAAUGUCGCCUUACAGAACACUUUCUCCACAUAUACUAAACCCACCCCAAAUAGAGAUAAAGAAUACAAAUAACAGAUAUAACAGAAUCAACAUGUUUAGCAUGCUCAUAUACAAAUAUCAUACAUGUUUAUAUUGACAAUCAGACAUACAUAUCAAUUUUACUAACUCAAAUUAGUCUAUCAGAAUAAUAUAUCUCAUGCAUUAAGGGUUUGGUUAGCCCUUACCGACCCUAUAAAAGGCUCAUAGUCGAUUGGAACAACUCAAGUGACCCUAGGGAAAAUUUUAGAAUUUUGGGCCCACACACCCAAAUUGGCCCUGCCUGUGUGGCCCACAUGUCCUGGCCCAUGACCCACGUUCCCGUGUGGCCCACACGCCUAAAUUGACCUAGCUCGUGUGGCCCACACAACCAUACCCUUGCUCGUCACACGGCUGUGUGUCGUACACAACCAGCCACAUGACCGGGCACACGCCCAUGUAGCGUUGACAAGCCACUUUUUCGGCUUUCGUCGAACCUCAUUUUUUUUCCAUGUUUGCAUUACAGACUUGGUUUCUUUUUCGAAUCAGCCUAAAUGAUGAAAUUCCUAGUACCUAAAAUCAACAGAAUUCAAUGAAUUAAUCCCCAGGAACUCUUUCAAUUCGAAGGCAUACGACUUAGUACCCUAACAUGUCGAAACCCAACAACAAAACUAUGCUUAAUCGAUAGAAACACUUACCCUCAAGACAACAAUCCACACAAUCACUCCGCUGAAAGAGCACCCAUUGACGCACAAUUCUCACCUAGAUAUCAGUAAACACAAACCAAGAAAAAUUAAAAGGAAACCCUUCAACACCAUAAAAAAUACCCAACCAUUCAUCUAUUCCAUAAAGAAACUUAAGCCAACUAUGCACUUACCAAACAACAACCACCAAUCUUAAUGACAGAGAUGAGCAAAUAACACUUGAAUUUCGUCUGAAUUAGAAAAGUAAUAGGAACAGAAAGCAAAAAGAACAAGAAAGAACGUAUGAGAAACGAAAAAAAAUGAACGUGAAAGCGGUGACUGAUUUUUAGGGAAAAGGAUAAUGAUAAAAUUAAAUUAAAAAUAAAAUAAUUAAAUCACCUAUUUUCCCUCAACUCCCCACCAACAACCGAAUCCUACUAAAUCUGACCACUAACCACAUCCAACUACCUCUGACUUUUAACUCCACCCAAACUCUCUCAGGCACCCGGAGCAAAAAUAAUCACCAACUCUCACACAAGAAUUCAAACACAAUACCUCUAACAAGCUAAAUCCUUACCACUCGAACCAACAAGCUCAUUCUAAUGUAAGUUUACCAAAAAUAUAAUAUAAGCCUACCUAACAUGGAUAAGUAUAAAAAUAACAAAAAUUGCUAAAAGUGAAACUUGAACCUUAGACCUCAAACAUGACACUUAGCCACUGAAACAAAUACAUAUAUUUAUAUUAGAAUUCACAGAAACAAAGUUAAAAAAUUUAGGGCGUUACAGGUCAACUCAUUAUGUCAUAACUAAAGAGAAUCAAUUACUCACAAAUACGAAAAUGAUGGUAUCAAGGUCAAACUUGAUGCUAUUAUAUUUUUCUAAACAUCCAAGACACAAAUUUCAUAAAGAAUUUAAUUCCAAGAAAAAGACACAAAUUUCAUAAAGAAUUUAAUUCCAAGAAAAACACAUAUGGGUGUCGAGGUCUAUCUAGACUUAAUAAUAUAAUGAAUAAAAAUGGAAUUUAUAUAAUUUAAUGAUUAAAUACAAAAUUUUUAUUGUUAAGUCACUAGUAAAAAAUGCAUUACAUUUGUUUCAGAAAGUCAACUAAUGAUUAUGGAUGAAAUUUAAGGGGAAAAAUGAUAAAAAGAAAAUAAUAAUAGGGAAGUGAUUUUUUAUUUUAAAUAAAAUUUUUAUAUAAUCUUAUAUAUUUGUGUUAUUUUUAUAUGAAUUUAAUUUAAAAUAUCAUCAAUAAAUAUUAUUACGAGGUCAAUAAAAAAAUAUUUUUAAACGCGUGAAAUUAGGAAAAACAAAAGCACGAUCUUAAUUUGACAUUAAAAAGGGAGAUUAUAUUGUUGUUCACUAAAUACUAAAUUAUGAAUAAAUUUUCGUUUUGAUCAGUUAAUUAAAAAAGUUAUAAUUUGGUCAUUAAAAUUUUAAAAAUUAUUUUUUUGACACUCUUUUAAUUGGUAUAAUAACAAUUUUAGUCCUUAAUUUUUAUACUUUCUAUUAAUUUGACCUUAAUUAUAAAAAAUAAAAAAUGAAAAUAUUUUUUAAAAUUUAAAAAUUUCUAAAAGUAAAAAUAAAAGUAGAUAAAAAUUUCAAAAAUAGAUUAAGUGAAAGAAAAUGAGGAAAAUUAUUUUUAAACCAUUCAACUUUUCUCUUUGUAUUAUUUGUAUGGGAAUAUCCAAUACCUAUUCUUUAAAAAAUAUUAAAAAAAAAGCAAAAUUAAUGGUUGACUUUUUUUCACAUCUUCUGUUUUUUUUUUACAUAACACGGCUUUCUUAUUAUAAGAAAAGAAAAGAAUUUUGUUUUUACAAUUUUAGUUUAAAAAUAAUUUAAAUGAAUUAAAAUUUUGAUUUAAGUUUUUUAGCUAAAAAAAAACUGACAUUAGAGUUUGAAAAAAAGAAAAGCGCAUGUAAAAUCAGUUCUAGAUUUUCUUUAGUGCCAAUUUGAAUAUAUUACUAAUUUAGUUUUUAAAUAUUGAGAAAAUAUGUAAUGAUUUAACUGUUUUUUUGUUCAGUUAAAAUUGUUAUUGGAUUACAAUUUUCUUUAAUUCUCAUACAUAUUAGUUCUUCAAUAACAACAUUUUUGAAAUUUUUUUUUUAAAUUUUUAUAUAGAAUUUUCUAAUUUUAAUUAAUUUCAAGGUUUUUAUAAUUUUGAUAUAGGAAUAGGAUCAAAUUUAUAGAAAAUAUAAAAAUUGAGGACUAAAAAUACUAUUAUAUUGACUAAAAAGUGUCACACUUUUUUAAAAACUUUAGUAAUCAAAUUGAAAUUUUUUAAGUGACUAAAAUAAUGACUAAUAAAUUUACUAUAACCCUUAAAAAAGUUGACUAUUUUCUUGGCCCCCAAAAAAAGAAAAGAAAUCUAAAUUGAUAUACAUGAAAUUUCCAAUUUCAUAGACGAAUGAUGUUACCUUACGUAACACAGACGUCAAAGUUACUUCCACAAAUUGCAGUGCAAGAUGUUGAACUCCAAAUGUAUUUUGCGUACGUGGCACCACCUCCUUCAUUAUCAUCCCCAAUACGACAUUUGGCCAUGUUAAUAAAACCAC